GUGGGGAAUUUUGGACAAUGGGCGCAAGCCUGAUCCAGUAAUGCCGCGUGCAGGAAGAAGGCCUUCGGGUUGUAAACUGCUUUUGUACGGAACGAAACGGUCCUGGCUAAUAUCCGGGGCUAAUGACGGUACCGUAAGAAUAAGCACCGGCUAACUACGUGCCAGCAGCCGCGGUAAUACGUAGGGUGCGAGCGUUAAUCGGAAUUACUGGGCGUAAAGCGUGCGCCGGCGGUGCUGUAAGACAGGCGUGAAAUCCCCGGGCUCAACCUGGGAAUUGCGCUUGGGAAUGCAGUGCUGGAGUGCGGCAGAGGGGGAUGGAAUUCCGCGUGUAGCAGUGAAAUGCGUAGAUAUGCGGAGGAACACCGAUGGCGAAGGCAAUCCCCUGGGCCUGCACUGACGCUCAUGCACGAAAGCGUGGGGAGCAAACAGGAUUAGAAACCCUUGUAGUCC
rnacentral:rRNA from 1 species